rnacentral:lncRNA from 1 species
AGACUGUACAGACAGAUUGAUGUUGGGAACAUAUUCAGGAUAGGAAGAGCCUGAAUGUAAAUCAGAGCACAUUAAUGAUGAUGAGCAGGGUGUCUCUAAGAGAUUCUCAGCAGAAAAUGUCACCUCCUACAAAGAAAGAUUUUCGCCAUGUUUUCCUGAUGGACUAAUAGUUGGAAGAAAGAAAGGAGGAUGAUAUUCUACUGCGAUGGUGCUGCUGCCUCUGAAAUGGCUAGAAUCAUUUCAGGCACCAUCAUAGCUAAGGCACAGCUGUUUAUUCUGAGCUAAUUGGAGCAGAGUUAAAACCAAGAGAAGUAAACUGCAAGAAAGUAAAGUUUGAGAAGAAAGAGGAUAACCUCUUCAGUGAACAAAUGUCAAGCAUACGGUACAGCAUAGGAUGCAAUACAAGCUUUCCUGUGCCCCUCUUCAGGGGAAAGGAACUGAGCUCUUGCUGCACUGAAAUUCCUGGAAGCAUCCUGAACCACCUACUGGUAAUCUAUGAAAAUAUUGUGCUG